rnacentral:rRNA from 1 species
AUACGGAGGGUGCGAGCGUUGUUCGGAAUUACUGGGCGUAAAGCGGGUGUAGGCGGUGGAUCAAGUCAGAUGUGAAAGCCCUCGGCUCAACCGAGGAAGUGCAUCUGAAACUGGUUCACUAGAGUACGGGAGAGGAGAGUGGAAUUCCCAGUGUAGAGGUGAAAUUCGUAGAUAUUGGGAGGAACACCGGUGGCGAAGGCGGCUCUCUGGAACGAUACUGACGCUGAGACCCGAAAGCGUGCGGAGCAAACAGGAUUAGAAACCCUAGUAGUCC